rnacentral:rRNA from 1 species
AUACGGAGGGUGCAAGCGUUAUCCGGAAUCAUUGGGUUUAAAGGGUCCGUAGGCGGGCUAAUAAGUCAGGGGUGAAAUCCCACAGCUUAACUGUGGAACUGCCCUUGAUACUGUUGGUCUUGAGUUACAGUGAAGUGGUUAGAAUGUGUAGUGUAGCGGUGAAAUGCAUAGAAAUUACACAGAAUACCGAUUGCGAAGGAAGAUCACUAACUGUAUACUGACGCUAAUGGACGAAAGCGUGGGGAGCGAACAGGAUUAGAAACCCCAGUAGUCC